rnacentral:lncRNA from 1 species
CCCCUUGCACUUCAUGCAUAUAAUAACUCAUAAUCUGUGCAUCAUAUGUAAAAACUUUUAACAUGUAAAAUGCUUAGAAUUUUGUGUAGUUUAAUAAUAUGCCAAUUUCAUCCGUUUUUAAAAUGUUUAACUUGCUGUUUAUUUAAAUUUGCUCAAAUGCCAUGAUUAAAAUGAUUUAUUUCAUAACUAAAUAACCGUAACUCGGAAUUAAAUAAACUUUAUAUGUAUUUGGGGUGGAAAAAUGCCUAGUUCAACAUGGUCCACUUUAUUUUCCUGUUUAACAACAAUAAAAUAUGUUUUAGGGCAGAACAGUACCAAAUUUGAAUAUUGCUCAUGAGGAUUUUCCGGAAUUGUUGUUUAUUCUUCCGGCCUCAUUUAAACUUGCUUAAAUAGUUAGUUUCCAUUAUGCUUCACCCCUUGCCAUGUUUAACAACAUUUAAUAUUGUUGAGUAGCUCAUAACCGAGAGAGAACUAAAUAAUUGUCGUGGUGUUUCGUCAAUAUGCAACUCGUUGCAUAUUGAGCUCCACUUAAUUUGUAGGGUUGCUUGUGCUCUUUGCCAUGCCAUGCCUCAUUAAACCGGACAUGCAUCAUACUUGAUUGCGCAUCAUGCCAUGUUUAUGUGAUGUUUGUUUACUAUGUUGUGUGCUUCUUUUCUGGUGUUGCUUGUUCGGGUUGGUUCCGAUAACGUCGAGUUGUGAGGAUUCGUUCGUCUACGUCCGUUUGUCUUCUUCAUGGACUCGUUCUUCUUCCUUGCGGGAUUUCAGGCAAGAUGAUCAUACCCUCGAAAUCAUUACUAUCUUUGCUAUGCUAGUUUGCUCGUUCUUUUGCCAUGCCAAUGCUACGAUGCCUACCAUUUGCUUGUCAGCCUCCCAAAUUGCCGUGUCAAACCUCUAACCCACCAUGUCCUAGCAAACCGUUGUUUGGCUAUGUUACCGCUUUGCUCAGCCCCUCUUAUAGCGUUGUUAGUUGCAGGUGAAGAUUGAAGUUUGUUCCUUGUUGGAACAUGGAGAUGUUGUUCCUUGUUGGAACAUGUUUACUUGUUGGGAUAUCACAAUAUAUCUUAUUUAAUUAAUGCAUCUAUAUACUUGGUAAAGGGUGGAAGGCUCGGCCUUAUGCCUGGUGUUUUGUUCCACUCUUGCCGCCCUAGUUUCCGUCAUAUCGGUGUUAUGUUCCCGGAUUUUGCGUCCCUUAUGCGGUUGGGCUAUAAUGGGAACCCCUUGACAGUUCGCCUUAAGUAAAGCUCUUCCAGCAAUGCCCAACAUUGGUUUUACCAUUCGCCACCUAGCGUUUUCUUUCCCUUGGGUCGGCCAGCCCGAGGGUCAUCUUUAUUUUAACCCCCCCGGGCCAGUGCUCCUCUGAGUGUUGGUCCGAACUGAGCUGCCUGCGGGGCCACCUCGGGGAAACUUGAGGGUUGGUUUUACUCGUAGCUAGUCUCAUCUGAGUGUGCCCUGAGAAAGAGAUAUGUGCAGCUCCUAUCGGGAUUUGUCGGCACAUUCGGGCGGUGUUGCUGGUUUAGUUUUACCCUGUCGAAAUGUCUUGUUGUACCGGGAUACCGAGUCUGAUCGGAAUGUCUCGGGUGGAGGUCUAUUCCUUCAUUGACCGUGAGAGCUUGUGAUGGGCUAAGUUGGGACACCCCUGCAGGGAUUUGAACUUUCGAAAGCCGUGCCCGCGGUUAUGGGCAGAUGGGAAUUUGUUAACGUCCGGUUGUAGAAAACCCGAAGUUGACCUUAAUUAAAAUACAUCAACCGCGUGUGUAACCGUGAUGGUCUCUUUCCGGCGGAAUCCGGGAAGUGAACACGGUGUUGGAGUUAUGCUUGAUGUAGGUAGUCCAGGAUCACUUCUUGAUCAUACCUUUAUCGACCGUGCUUUGCCUUCUCUUCUCGCUCUCAUUUGCGUAUGUUAGCCACCAUAUAUGCUAGUCGCUUGCUGCAGCUCCACCUUAUUACCCCAGCCUUCCUAUAAGCUUAAAUAGUCUUGAUCUCGCGGGUGCGAGAUUGCUGAGUCCCUGUGGCUCACAGAUACUUCCAAAACCAGUUUGCAGGUGCCUAUGUUACCGAGCAGGUGACGCAACCAAGCUCAAGGAGGAGCUCGAUGAAGAUCUUGUCCUUUGUGUUGUUUCCGUUCUAGUUGAUCAGUAGUGGAGCCCAGUUGGGGUCGAUCGGGGACCUUUGUCGCAUUUGGGGUUCUUCUUUUAUUUUGGUUCCGUAGUCGGACCUUGAUUGUAUCUGGUUGAUGUAAUGCUUUUAUUCAUGUAAUUGUGUGAAGUGGCGAUUGUAAGCCAACUAUGUAUCUCUUUCCUUUAUAUAUUACAUGGGUUGUGUGAAGAUUACCUCACUUGCGACAUAUGCCUUCAAUGCGAUUAUGCCUCUAAGUCGUGCCUCGACACGUGGGAGACAUAGUCGCAUCGAGGGUGUUACAUCAUGUUCAUCCAGCCUCCAGGGGAUCCUAUUCAUCCAGCCUCCACCGCAUGCUACUCCACCGGCUACUGUUCAACCAACCCUCCAUCGUCUACUGUUCAUCCAGCCCUCCACACCAUGGGGUCCUGUUCAACCACCCCUCCACCGUCUACUGUUCAUCCAGCAAUCCACACCAUGGGGUCCUGUUCAUCCACCCCUCCACCAUUUACUGUUCAUCCAGCCNNNNNNNNNNNNNNNNNNNNNNNNNNNNNNNNNNNNNNNNNNNNNNNNNNNNNNNNNNNNNNNNNNNNNNNNNNNNNNNNNNNNNNNNNNNNNNNNNNNNNNNNNNNNNNNNNNNNNNNNNNNNNNNNNNNNNNNNNNNNNNNNNNNNNNNNNNNNNNNNNNNNNNNNNNNNNNNNNNNNNNNNNNNNNNNNNNNNNNNNNNNNNNNNNNNNNNNNAUCGAUCGGCUUCAGUUAGCAGCAGUAGCGAAGGAAUCGCUCGAUCGGGUUCAAUUAACAGCCAUCGAUCGAUCGCUCGGGUUCAGUAACGCGUAGCCUGUAGUGCAAUCACUCGGGUUCAGUUAGAGCCCAAUGCCUCGCUCGGGUUCAGUUAGAGCCAACGCCUCGCACACACGCGCGUACGUGUACGAGAGAAGCGUGCAUCGCUCGGCCCCCGACCUCCCACCGUAAGUGGGAACUCCCCGAAAUUUUCCUCGCGCUCGCUUCUACCACGGUUUUUUCCAUCAUGGAUGGCCCAAAGAAUGUCAUGCAGCUGCGUCUCCGGCCCGCCCAAGAUGAAAAGCCCAUUUCUGUCAUGAUUUUUUGUCAUAGAAGUAGGAGCCCACCACAUCUAUGAUGAUACCGAGUUUUGUCACAAUUAUCGUCAUAGAAGUGUCAUAUGUAUGACAGAGAAAAAUUUCGUUCGGCCCAAAAUGUCACGGAUGUGUUUUUUUGUAGUGCAUGUUCUUUGAUGGUUCCAAGAUGCUGAACGGUUCCGGUGCUGGGGUGGUACUGAUAUCCCCCCGAGGAGACAAGCUCAGAUAUGUCCUUUAGAUUCAUUUUGAUUCCUCCAAUAACGAAGCAGAAUAUGACGCACUCUUGUAUGGGUUGCGUAUGUCCAUCUCACUCGGCGUCCGUCGCCUCAUGGUCUAUGGUGACUCAUAUUUGGUAGUCAAUCAAGUGAUGAAGGAGUGGGACGUCAGAAGCCCAGCCAUGACUGGCUACUGCAACACAGUGAGGAAGUUGGAAAAGAAGUUUGAGGUGUUAGAGCUCCAUCAUGUACCCCGACUGAAAAAUCAAGCAGCCGAUGAUUUAGCAAAGAUAGGUUCCAAGAGAGAAGCCAUUCCCCGCAAUGUGUUUUUGGAGCACAUUCACACACAGACAGUUCAAGAAGAUCCUUUCACUGAAGAGCUCCUGCAGCCUAAGAGUGCCACAGAUCCGACUGAAGUCGAGGUCCCAGCCAUGGUCGACCUGAUCAUGGAGGUUUUGGUCAUCACUCCCGACUGGACAGUGCCAUACAUUGCAUAUAUCCUUAGGAAGGAACUCCCAGAGGAUCAAGAGAAGGCUCGACAGAUCGUCCGUCAAUCCAAGGCCUUUACUGUGAUAAGAGGACAAAUGUUCAGGGAAAGCGCGAACGGAGUCAGCCAGAAAUGCGUAACACCAGAAGAACGUCAAGUGAUCCUCAACGACAUCCACUCGGGAACCUGUGGUCACCAUGUGUCCUCUCGGACCAUUAUGGCUAAAGCAUACUGAGCUGGAUUUUAUUGGCCACGAGCAAAUGAAAUGGCGAAAGAUAUAGUCGACAGAUGUGAGGGCUGCCAGUUUUACUCCAAUAUGUCGCACAAGCCUGCGUCAGCCCUAAAGACCAUUCCACUCGUCUGGCCCUUUUCUGUUUGGGGAUUGGACAUGGUUGGACCACUGAGGACUGGUAGGAGCGGCUUCACUCAUGUUCUUGUAGCAGUCGACAAGUUUACCAAAUGGAUUGAAGCCAAGCCUAUUAAGAAUCUUGAAGCCAGUACUGCCGUCAGCUUCAUCAGAGAGUUGACAUUCAGAUAUGGGGUUCCGCACAGCAUCAUCACUGACAAUGGAUCGAACUUCGAUUCUGAUGAGUUCAGAACCAUCUGCGCCUCCCAAGGCACACGAGUCGACUAUGCUUCAGUCGCCCAUCCGCAGUCAAAUGGACAAGCAGAAAGAGCAAAUGGCCUGAUUCUCAAAGGACUGAAACCCUGACUAAUGCAAGAUCUCAAGCACGCAGUAGGCGCCUGGGUUGAUGAACUUCCAUCAGUUCUUUGGGGAUUGAGGACAGCUCCCAAUCGGUCGACUGGCGGAACUCCCUUCUUCUUGGUCCAUGGAGGUGAAGCUGUUCUACCGAGUGACCUGCUUCACAAUGCACCAUGGGUCGAGCUCUUCUCUGAAGAUGAAGUAGAACAAGCUUGGCAGGACGCAGUCGACCUCCUAGAAGAAGAAAGAGAGAUGGCCUUGAUCCGAUCGACCAUUUAUCUGCAAGACUAACGUCGAUUCCACGCUAGAAACGUGAGGGGUCGAGCCUUUCAAGAGGGAGACUUGGUUUUCGAGUGGAUCAGCAGAAACCACAGAAGCUCACCCCUACUUGGGAAGGUCCCUUCAUUGUCACCAGAGUUCUCCACAAUGGAGCAUAUCAUCUUUACAAUAUCGAGCAUAAGAAAGAUGAGCCACGGGCUUGGAAUGCGGAGCUUCUCCGCCCCUUUUAUACUUAAGUACUCAUUCGGGUGAGAUGUAAUAAGAAAUACCUUUGUAGUUUGUUUAUCAAAGACGAGAGCUUUUCUUAAACGGUUGUUUUCGCUUUUGUUUGUGUCUGAAAUCCCCUAGUGGGUGACUUUGCUGCGAAUCCGUUUCGCCUAAGUUUGAAAAAUCAUACCGAGUGGUGAGCAAGCCUCCCACUCGGGGGCUUAGCCGUGAAUCCGUUUCGCCUAAGUUUAAAAAAUCCUACCGAGUGAUGAGCAAGCCUCUCACUCGGGGGCUUAGCUGCAGUCCAGUACUCGCCUAAGUUUAAAAACUCCUACCGAGUAGUGAGCAACCCUCCCACUCGGGGGCUUAGGUGCAGUCCAGUACUCGCCUAAGUUAAAAAAAUCCUACCGAGUGGUGACCAACCCUCCCACUCGGGGGCUUAGCUGCAAUCCAGUACUCGCCUAAGUUUAAAAAAUCCUACCGAGUGGUGAGCAACCCUCCCACUCGAGGGCUUAGCUGCAGUCCAGUACUCUCCUNNNNNNNNNNNNNNNNNNNNNNNNNNNNNNNNNNNNNNNNNNNNNNNNNNNNNNNNNNNNNNNNNNNNNNNNNNNNNNNNNNNNNNNNNNNNNNNNNNNNNNNNNNNNNNNNNNNNNNNNNNNNNNNNNNNNNNNNNNNNNNNNNNNNNNNNNNNNNNNNNNNNNNNNNNNNNNNNNNNNNNNNNNNNNNNNNNNNNNNNNNNNNNNUCCUACCGAGUGGUGAGCAACCCUCCCACUCGGGGGCUUAGCUGCAGCCCAGUACUCGCCUAAGUUUAAAAAAUCCUACCGAGUGGUGAGCAACCCUCCCACUCGAGGGCUUAGCUGCAGUCCAGUACUCGCCUAAGUUUAAAAAAUCCUACCGAGUGGUGAGCAACCCUCCCACUCAGAGGCUUAGCUACAGUCCAGUACUCUUCUAAGUUCAAAAAUCCUACCGAGCGGUGAGCAACCCUCCCACUCGGGGGCUUAGCUGCAGUCCAGUACUCGCCUAAGGUUUAAAGUCGAAUCCUUAUCCACAAGGAUGACGAGGUGCAGGUCGACUGCAACUUUCUCCUUUGGAGCUGCGCCACAAAUACAACAUGCGCUCCAUCCCCAUCCGCAAGGACGACGAGGUGCAGGUCGACUGCAACCUUCUCCUUCGGAGCUGCACCACAAAUACAACGUGCGCUCCAUCCCCAUCCGCAAGGACGACGAGGUGCAUGUCGAGUGCAACCUUCUCCUUCGGAGCUGUGCCACAAAUACAACAUGCGCUCUAUCCCCAUCCGCAAGGACGACGAGGUGCAGGUCGACUGCAACCUUCUCCUUUGGAGCUGCACCACAAAUACAAUGUACGCUCCAUCCUUGUCCGCAAGGACAACAAGAUGCAGGUCGAAAGAUUAUUCAAAGUAAAGAGCAAAUUCCACUCGGAAGGCAAAUGCAAGCAUAUUCAGGAAUAAACCAAGUUCAGAUAGAUCCUAAAGUUCUGGACGACAGAUCAAAAGUAUUCGAGCAUCAAGCCCGAAGAAGUUUAACGGUUACACAAUCACUCGGUAUUCCGAGGCAAAUAAUGGUGGAGCAUAAUGUUUUUCGGUCACACAUCAGGAGUAGGACUGGUUGGGUCGCAGAAACUAUCAAGGUCUAUGUUGUCUGCAAUACGAGUAGCGGCAUCAAGGAAGGUGUCCAUGAAGGACUGGAAAGUGUGUCUCUUUGUGUUAGCAACCUUGAGUUCCGCCAGCUUGUCUUCUCUGACAUCUUUGCAGUGCACUCGGACCAGGGACAACGCGACAUCUGUGCCACAGCGAGCGGAUGACUUCUUCCAUUCUUGCACUUUGUCGGGGAAUUGAUUCAUUCGAGCCAUCAGGAACUCGAGAUCUUGAGACAGUUCCGCCUGAGGCCAGAGUUCAGCGUCAUCCCAAGUCAUCGCCGCUUUCAGGCAGGCAAGAUAAGAAACCACACUGUCCAUGUUAGAUUCCAACUGCAGCACAUUCAUCGCAACAUCAUCCUUGACUGGACAGUGGAUGGGAUCAAGACCCGUCUCGACCCGCCCAGUUUCCGCUUCAAAGUCUUGGCAAAACUCUGCACAGUCGAGUAAAUGGUGAGUCCACGAUAUAAUUAGACUUGACAGUCGACAGAAAUAAGUCAGUCAAUCAUCAGUACCUUCAAGGUUUAAGACCAGCUUUGCAGCAAGCUGGCCCAGAUAAGACUCCAACUUGCCCUUCUUAACUUUGAGGCUCCCAAGCUCGUUAGUAAGUUUGCCCUUGUCCUUCUUCAGUCGCUCAACCUCCCGAUUGGCAUCAGAAACAACAGUCUUCAGUUUGGAAUUUUCUUCUUCUAGCUUGCUGACCGAAGCAAGCUUCUUGUCGGCAAGCGCGGUUUUCUCUCGCGCUUCCUUAUGUGCAGCAGCAAGAUCCAGAUCCUUCUUCUCCAAAGCCUGCUUCAUUUUCUCUAAAGAAAUAACAUUCUUCAGACGGGCUUGGAGUUGAUGGUUUUCAAUACAUACAUCUGCUCGAGUGGAGUCACUCGGUAAAAAAAUGGAAAAGAAAAGUGCCAACAGCAGUAAGAUAAACAGUUGAUGAUUGGUUAGCUCCCAUGGCAGCUAGUUCAUCGCGUGCAGUCUUGAGAUUCUUUCUGGCCAGUUCCAGAUCAAGGUUGAGGCUGAUUUGUUGCUUGUUCAGUGUAGAGAGUUGAGCACCGAGAUCACAAGAUUUCUACGGCCAACACAUAAGACUUGUCAGUCGACUGAAAUGAAGGACAUCACUGCAAGGGUUACUCUAAGACUACCACCAAAUCAAACAUUCAAUGACAGUCUCGAGGACUACACUCAGUGGGUGCACUUAGCGUGCCCCCACUGGUUCAAAAAAAAGGAGGGGUUCAAAUUCUCAGACCAUAGUCGACUGCCCGCAGUCAACUACGGUCUCAAGGACUACACCCAGUGGGUGCACUUAGCGUGCCCCCACUGGUUUUGGUUCCACUCGGCAUGGUCUGCCCAGUGCGAGUGCCCCCACUAGUUCAAAGAUUCAGCUCGAAUCGACCCAAAGUGACAUACAAUUUCAAAACAGCCACACCCAGUGGGUGAUCGGACGAGAAAUAUGAUCAGUCGGGAAAUGACUAACCUGGACAUUGGUUUGCAGAGCAGCUCCGGCGUUGAAAGCCACUUGACUGGCCUCAUGCACCACUUUCAUUUGCCCAAUCACAAGAUUCAGCUGAAGAAGAGCCUCCUUGGCAGCAGUCGGUGGGUCAUCCGGAGUUUGAUACGAAGUGAAAAGCGAGGCUGGCAGAGCAACCGAAGCAACCAUCAAAUCUGAAGUGUGGAGUUGAAUUGGUGCAGUAGAAGUCUGAGCAGCUAGUCCUGAUGGGCAAUCAGUCGAUAGUGGGACAGCGAAGGUGACGUUGGUUCGAGCCGGAUCUGUCGAUCGCUCGACUGCCGUCCCAGGUGUCACGGUCGACUGAGGAACCUGGACCUCAGGCGCUUUCUCGCCCAGUUCCUUGUCUUUCCUCUUCCUCCCCCUCAGUGGUACUUCUUCUUCAUCGUCCGAGAGCACAACAACGUCCCGUGGAGCUGCAAUAAAUAGAAAAAGUCAUUCGGGUAGCUGACAAACAAUCUAGUCGUCCAAAUUAAUUCAAAUCGGGCAGACUUAGUGGUUUUUGAGGUAGCUGCGUCGCCGGUUUCCUCAUCGUCCAGCUUCUUGUCAAUGUCCAUGUCAGUCGCAGCUGAGUCCGGGCUGUAAAGGUUCAUCAUCCACUCGGUCAUAACAAGAAAGUCGGUCGGAACAAGAAAAUGCGGGAAGAACAUUUACCCAGAAGCAAUAGGAAUGUCCAUCUUGAUUCUAGGCAAGGUCUUCCGAGCCUUUGAAGUAUUGAUCUUGGGCUGCUUGGUGAUCUUCUCAGCCAAUUCUGGAGUCGAAGACCGAGCGCGUUUUUGAGAUGGAGCACUCGGCACCACAGUUUGGCCGCGGCUGCCCGCGGGAUCAUGGUGCUGCUUUGAUCGAUGUUCAGAACGAGGCAGUGAGUCGGCUACCUCCUCAUCGCCCGACUCAUCGCUCUCAUCUUAGUCAUUGUCGGUUGGUGACUCCCACUCGCCGCUCUCCUCCGCACUGUCCUCGCCUUCUUGGUCUUGCUCCAGAGCUUGUUCACCAUUAGGCAUUGAGUACAUCUCCGUGUAAAUCUACAAAAUAAGGAGCCGAACACAAGUCAGUCGGAUCAACAAACAGUCAGAAAACACGUCUAAGAACUCAGUCGUUAUGGCCAAACCUUGUCUGGCUGAUUGCUAUCGCUGAAAGGGUCGACUCUCCUGGUGCCCUAGGGUUGUCCUUGUUCCCGGUGAUACCCCUCAGCCACUGGGCCACUGUUUUGGCCGCCACCUCCUCCGGAUGAACCCGAGCAGUGUCACCAGCCCCGGAGUACAUCCACAUGGAGAGAUCAUGAGCUUGGAGUGGUUGGAUGUGCCGACUGAGGAACACCUCUAGCAGAUCCAUGCCAGUGACACCUUGGUUGAUCAAUUGAACUACUCGACUAGCAUACCUGUCUCCGCCUUCUCCGCGGCAGUCACUUUCAACGAAGUUGGAGUUUGAACACGAUCAAAAGAGAAAGGGGGAAGUCCAGUUGACUGGCCUGGCGUCAUGAUAUCCUGGCAGUAGAACCAGGUCGACUGCCAGCCCCUGACCGACUCCGGAACAGUCAUCGAAAGAAAAGAACUUCUCUUCCUCUUCUGAAUACCUAGACCCCCACACAUCUGGAUAACAUGGGUUUUCUCGUCGUUCAAGUUCACUUUCUUCACUAUUUGGGAGCAGAUGGUAAAGAUGUGCUUGAAAAGACCCUAGUGCGGUCGACACCCCAGGAAAUUCUCGCAAAUGGAUAUGAACGCAGCAAGAUACGUGAUAGUGUUGGGAGUAAAAUGAUGGAGUUGGGCCCCAAAGAAAUUCAGGAAACCUUGAAAGAAGGGAAGCGAGAAGCCGCGGUCGACAUGAGUGGUGAGCAGAACGCACUCACCCGGUCGCGGCUGCAGCUCCGUUUCCCCCUCCGGCAGCUGCGCAGACUCAUGGACGAUCAGCCCUAGCUCAGCCAUAUCGUCCAAGUCUUCCUGUCGAAGCAAAGAUUUGAUCCAAUCUCCCUGGAUCCAACCCGAUGGCAGCCCCGAUCGCGAUGAAGACCCCCGAUUCGUCUUCUUGCUUUUCACCGCCCCUGUCGCCUUCUUCGUGCGUUCUAGCGCCACUGUUUUCUCCUUCCUCAUGGCGAUGGAGCAGUGGCGUUGAGAGUGGAGAAGCCGGAUGGGGUGAAGGAGCAAGAGGAAGAAGAAGGAGAAUGGGCACACACAGUGCGGACGCCUCGGCCUCGCCGCUUUUAAAGGACCACUUCCGAGUGGCUGACGCGUGGGUCCGGGCGAUCCUGUCAAAUCCCUCAACAAUCGCACAUGGGAUACGUGGCAAAAAAGGUGGCGCACAAAUCGAAAUGUCCUGUCUGUCCACUCCACUUACCACGGUGCGCUCUGUCUGGCGCUUCUACCGAAAUUUCGAAUCCCGCGAAAUCCGGGAUCCUCUGCAACUGAUCACGCCAAAGAUUUUGCAUCAAAGAUGACACUCGACAGGCGAUGUUACAAAAACCAAUCGGUAAUUUCUGAAUCAAUCAAGGCGACUAAAACAAGGCCAAAAGUUCCAACACCAGCCUCCAUUCAGAGAUGAAUUCUUGAGAAAGGCAAGAGUCAAGGCAAGAUCAACUUCAACCUUCUUUUCACUCGGACCUCAAUCCAUUCGGGGGCUAAUGAUGAGGACAUAGACCUGGGGUAGGGUAAUAGGCCUGACCUAUACGUCCUACCUAUGGUCCUUGUCUUAGAAGCGAAGAAGUUCAAGAGUGAACAGGGAGGACCCAAUAAAGGUGUCGAGUGAAAUCCACUCGACAUACCAUUCACUCGGAGAUGUCUUCUUCUUCAAGUCACUCGACUAGUCAACCAUUCGACCAUGUAAAAGACCACUCGACGUACAAAAAGACCUAAAGCCGCUCUGCACAGCAAUGGUCGAGCAUUUACUCGUAUAUUUAAUGAUCAUUUGUAGCACUUUAUUACAAGCGUUACCUGUAACACUGUCUAUUUAUGAGUAUUGAACUCAGUGUAACGGAGGGGAGCUGAGGUCUUGGCGCACUGUAUAUAAGCCACCCCUCCUUUGAGACAAGGGUUCACACUCUUUGUAACACACACGCAUAUAAUCCAGUCGACCACCUCAGGGCUCCGAGACAUAGGGCUAUUACUUCCUCCGAGAAGGGCCUAAACUCGUAAAACUCGCGUGUACAACUCCUCCAUAGCUAGGAUCUUGCCUCUACAUCCCUACCCCCCAUUCUACUGUCAGACUUAGAACCACGACACCGGGCCUCGAGCCGGACAUAUGCACCGACAUCAUCGAGACGGCUCACUGUGCGAGACCCGCGCGAGUUCGGCCAGCCAUGAGUCGUGCCUUCGUGGGAUUUAUCCAUGGAGUGGAAUCGGAGGACAUGCCAGCAUAUGGUGAUGAGAUCGUCGUCAACUCUGAUGGCGAGUCAUCCACUGGUGAGACCGAGUCACUAUAUCAACUGCAAGAGGGCCGACUUGGGGGCUGUUCCGGUGACGACAGUAUUCCGGACCCCUGUGAGCCACCGAAUCGAGUUGCAAUUUUCAUGGCUGGUACCCAGGCCAUGCAGCACUCAACAACUACGGCGGAGCUGGUUUCCGGGUCAGGGGCGGCAGUGGCUGCCGGGGCAGGAGGCCCUGAGCACCCGCCGGCUCAGGCUUUAACUGAUUUACUGGAUAAAUUGACGACGCUCUUAAUAGCAGUGGUUAACCCGGCGGAUCAAGAUCAACAUAACGCGGCAAUCACAAGAUUGCGCGAUGAGAUAGCGCAUGCUAAGGAGGAGCUAAAUGCGGAAGGCGCUAAGAUGGCUGAAGAAAGGGCUGUUUGGACGCCCAGUCACAACGGAUACAGGCAGAGUCUUACCGGCUCAUGUUGGAUCAAAAUGCUUCAAACAAUGUCAUGAGGAGGAGGCAUCAGACCCAUCUGCCGUUGGUCUAAGAACCUCGAAAUCUUUUUAACAUGCCAGGAGCAGGAACCAGUAACCCGGCAGGGGCAAACCGAGUUGAAGCGCCUAGGACGGGUGCGCCGGUUCAACCGCGUGUAGUGGAUCCACCUCGCCAGAACAACAACCCGCCACAGCAUGUGCCGAUGCCACCGGGUCAUUACUCCAACCCUUUGGAUAACAUGAUUGCUGCAGCAUCUCGAUUAGCAGCUAUCCCGGUUGAAGGUGAAUCGCAGCGGUGGUUGAGACACGGACGGCUGAAGAGCUUCCCCGAACGGCAUUAACUCAGCAACAGGCUUAUUCAUACACUCGGGAUAGGAUUCAUUCCACCCCUCAUCCGAGCCGGAGUUAUAAUAGGCAUCUCGAUGAGCCAGCUGUGUCGAGCAGUGGACGAAACCGUAACCCGCCCGUGGGCAUGACCCGAUGGGUGGUGGUGCAAACGCCCAGGAUGUGGUGGAUCAGGGUAGAGCUCAUCGAGAGGCCGAGCUGGUGGCUCAGUAUGCAGCUCGUCAACCGACUCUGGUUCGUCCGACCACCUCUGUGGAUCCAUGUGUAACCUUUCGAAACUUGGGCGUGCCAUUCUUAGUGCCGGAUCUACGUAAUGAGCGUCUGCCCAAAGAUUUCAAAGAACCUCGCAAAGUGCCAAAUUAUACAGCUGAUAUAAGUCUUGGGGCAUGGAUCGAGAGUUAUGAGAUGGCCAUAGAGUUGCUGGACGUCAGUGAGGCUGCGUGUGCUAAGUAUUUUCCCCUGAUGUUGGAAGGAACAACCCGCACCUGGUUGAAGGGGCUUCCUGCCAAUUCCAUCGGAUCGUGGGCUGUAACGCCUCGAGACCGAUGUGCCAGGUGUCCUCCAGUUUUUCGCUAUUGUUGCCUUGUCAUUGCUUGCGUGUCAUGCAUUGCAUUUCAUGUCAUCAUGUGCAUUUCAUUUGCAUACAUGUUCGUCUCAUGCAUCCGAGCAUUUUCCCCGUUGUCCGUUUUGCAAUUCGGCGCUCCUAUGUCCUCCGGUGUCCCUUUCUACAUAUUUUCGUGUGCGGGUGUUAAACGUUCUCGGAUUGGACCGAGACUUGUCAUGCGGCCUUGGUUUACCACCGGUAGACCGCCUUCCCCGACCUUAGGAGCCCCCUGCUUGAUCGAAUCGUUGGCGUUGUUGAGUCUAGAAAAAUGUUUUGAGUCAUUUAGGAUUAUAUAUAUCGGAGAGUAGGAUUCUUUUUACUUCUCAGUCCCUUCGUCGCUCUAGUGAGGCAUCCUGACGUAGAGUUUUGACUCUUCUCUUCUCAAAUUUUCACUAUUUUUUUAGGAUCACGUGGGUAUCUUGGAAUCGUUCCGAUGGUUUUGUGACGAGAACAUGGUUCUUGGUGCCUCCUAACAUUUAGGGGUUGUGGCAGUGUCCCGGGGAGUUGAGCUCCGAGGUGUUGUCGUCACAAUUGUACCGUUGCAGUUCUGGAAUACCUGAGUUCGCCGACAUCGAAAAUAUCUUUUAUGCAGUUGUUGGUGAGAUAACCUCGACGCCACCCAGUACUGGGGAGGGAGUUCGGGAGUAUUGCCAUAACUCGUAUAACGGAUGCUUUUUCGAAGGUUGAGGUAAAUGAUUUCCAAAGGUUUCUUGGUUAUGUGUUGAAGGAUGGAUAUAGCUGGAUGUAGGAUUUGUUAGUUUUGGGUGAGAUAUUAUGCUUCCCCUGUAUCCCCAACACCUGAUUGCAUAACCGGAAAGUUUCGGGAGUUUAUAAGUGGGAAUUCAAGUAGCUCCUAGGAUAUCUUUCUCACACAUGUAUGAUAUGAAAUUGGGGUUCGACGUCUAGUGAUCCGCCUAUCCACGGUUGGUUUUACAGUGGUCUCAUUGUGUCUUAAAGAGUCCUUAGCUAUGCCGACUCGGGGACGCUUCGUAUGUCAUGUGCACUGCCUUGUACAUGAUGGUGCUGUACGAUCGAGCCCGUGUAGGCCCCACCACGAAAACUUCGGACGAAAUCUCUAUCAUAUGUUUGUUCUGGCUUAUUCUGCAAGCCAAUACUUGUUUGGUUUUGAGUUGUGGUAUUCGAGUUGCUUCAAAGUCAAAUGUUGAUUCCAUACCUUUCCUAAGCGGUGUUUUCAUACUCCUAUGCGAAUACUAAUCCUUCUUGAUAAUCGAGAUUGUCAUGUAAAUCCUUUUCACCGGUGUGUUUUUCUUCAAGUGGAUCCGAUCAUCUCAACAUCCACAAGAUCAAUUAUCAGUUCCUCUCAACGGUGUUUGUUUCAUUCGUCCCAAGCUGCCUUUGUUUUUCCCGCCCGCCCACCCUUUUUCCUCAAGGACUCAGAUGUCUUAUUCAAGUAUCCAUUUUAUGGAUGCGAAGUUUCUUCGUUCUUUCCGUCAAUGUUCUUAUCCGGUGAUUCUCAUGAAGAUUCUAACGGAACCUCAAGUUCAUCAUUAUUCAUUCUUUUCUUCUUCGUUGGAUUCAAUUCUAGCUUUGUCGAUCAUAUCAUUUCCUCGUUUCAAAUGCUUUCUUAUGCCGGUGCACUUCUUAAUUAUUCACCUCUCAUUUUCCAUUUAUUCCGUUGUGCGGAAGAUAUCUCGGAGGAUUGGUGCUUCUAUUCUUGAUCAAUCCAAGCUAUUUUCGAGGUCUUACCUUAUUCAAGCCAUUUAAUUCAACAAGUGCAUUCUCUCUUUUAAAUCGUUCUACGGUGUUUAUUUUGAGUGGGCCCUAACCCAUAGGUCUCUUUCCAGGAUCUUACCUGACCCUUCUAAUUUUUCCGGAGUUACUCCCAAUUUUUUUUGAAGUUUGAUGUAAGAAUGAUUAUCAUCAGUCUUAUGUUUUUCUCCAAGCUCUUUCAAAUUCUUUUCAUCGUUGGCUCAACUUUUCCAUUCUUCAUUCCGGUGUGCCUCAAUAAUUUAUGGUGGUGUUUCUCGUCGUCAUUCUCAGAUUGGAAGACCGAAGAAGAGUUUCUCUUUAAUCUUGCUCCAUUCUCUUCAAGAUUCGUGAUUCUAGCUUGUUGCCAUCCUCUCAUAAUUAUUUUCAAUUGUGGGAAUUCUUUUCUCCUAUCCGGAGCAAUUCAAGAUUCUUCUCAGUUUGUUAUCCGGAGUCCAUCAAUUCAGGUUUAUUCAUUCUCAACUAUCAGUUAUCAUUCUCCAAUCUUACCGGUGCAUCAUCCAAGUGAUCUCUAAUCAGUCAUGAUCCCUUCGUUUUCAUGUAUCUAGAUUGUCUCAAGUAUCAUCAUUCAUUUCACAAUUCUUACCCGGUGAUUCAUCCCUUUUACUUCGCUCUUUUUCAAUUCUUAUGGUGGUUCGUUGAAGACAUUCUCAAGUUUAUGUUAUAUCUCUCUUAAUCCUUUCUACGAGAAUAAGUAGUAUGCCAAUUCCAUUGCUUGUCAUCAAUUUGAAUUGGUAAAGGAUAAGCAUAAUGUAAUUCUUAUUUUUGUUUCAUCAAGUAAAUUCAAUUCCUUGUUCCGGAGGUUCUUCAAAUUCUCUAUUUUAAUUGUUUCAUCUUUUUUUUUCCGGAGUUCCGAGGUUUUUCGUUUUAUCUCAUCGUGAAGACCCAUCUAAAUCAUUACAAGUUUUCACCUUGCGUUUUCAACUAAUCUUUCCUUCCAUUUGAUCAUCCUUUUGUUUCCGGAGUUCUUCAUGGAGGCUCUACAUGAUGGUUUUCAUCAAGGAUUUAAUUUCCUUCUCGAAGUGUUCAUCACCAUUCUUUUCAAAGGGCUCAAGCAUUCUUUAUCUUGCAAUCCAUAGUGGAAUUGUGUCUCCCUUAUCUUUUGAGGUGGCAAUAUACCAUUCUUCAAGAACGAGAGAUUUAAACCCAUCAAUCUCUUCGUUGGAGUUGUCUUGUGUCAUGUUUCACCUAAAGCCUUCCCUAAGAACGAGUUGAUGCUAUUUAAAUCCAAGUUCUUCAUCUGUCCUCCCAGCGAAAUAAGUUCUUGUCUCCUUGUUCACAUCAAUCCAAUCUAUCAUUUCCGUUAGGGCAAGAAUUUUACCUCAUAGCUUUGAGAUGUUUUCUAUAAGUCCACUACAACUUUGUUCUUUUCGUUGUUGGUUUUCCAACAACUCCGUUCGACCCUUCUCUUAAGGAUGCCUUUUCAAGUUCUUUAUGACAGAAGUUGACAUUUUCUUCUCCAUUCUUUUAUUUCAAUUAUCUAUCUUCUAUUUCUUCCUUCCGGAGGCAUUGUGAUGUUGCUCUCUUCAACCCAUCUUUUGGUCUUGUCAGGAUCGUGUUUGAUUCAUGCUUAUCCUUUCAACCGGAGUGUUACCUAAAUCGGUUCUUUCUUAUUCCUCUUUCUUAACAGAGUGUUUUCAACUCUGUUCAUCUCCGUUGCAUUCUUUCUUUCAAUUUGUUCAAACUCUCAAGGUUCUUUGGUUUCACUCAUUGUUCAGAGAAGCAACUUCGUUUUACCUCUUCUCUUUCUCUUCCGUUUUCCCUCCGGUGCCAUUCUAGAUCUCGGGACGAGAUCCUCUUGUAGUGGUGGAGUGUUGUAACGCCCCAAGACCGAUCUGCCAGGUGUCCUCCAGUUAUUCGCUGUUGUUGCCUUGUCAUUGCUUGUGUGUCAUGCAUUGCAUAUCAUGUCAUCAUGUGCAUUUCAUUUGCAUACAUGUUCGUCUCAUGCAUCCGAGCAUUUUCCCCGUUGUCCGUUUUGCAAUCCGGCGCUCCUAUGUCCUCCGAUGUCCCUUUCUACCUCUUUUCGUGUGCGGGUGUUAAACAUUCUCGGAUUGGACCGAGAUUUGUUAUGCGGCCUUGGUUUACCACCGGUAGACCGCCUGUCAAGUUUCAUGCCAUUUGGACUUCGUUUGAUACUCCAACGGUUAACCGAGUGACCGGAAAGGCCUCAUGUGUGUUGCAGCCCAACACCCCUCCAAAUUGGCCCAAAACCCAUCUAAACCCCCUCCAUCAUCUCGGUCGUUCGAUCAUGAUCGCGUGGCCGAAAACCGCACCUCAUUUGGAGCUUCCUAGCUCCCUCUACAUAUAAAUAUGUGAUCCCCUUCCCUAAAUUCGCGGAUGAAACCCUAGCCAUCUUCCUCCUCCCGCAGCCGGACAUGUCCGUCCCGCCGCCAGACGUGUCCACCGCCACCGCCACGUCGCCCGGACCAAUCAGGGGUCGACACCUCACCACCGCGCCGCCGUCGUCCACUCCCCUCGCGCCACGUGGCCGCCGGCUCCUCCCUAGCCGCCGCCCGACCGAGCUCGCGUCUCGCGCACCUCCCUCUNNNNNNNNNNNNNNNNNNNNNNNNNNNNNNNNNNNNNNNNNNNNNNNNNNNNNNNNNNNNNNNNNNNNNNNNNNNNNNNNNNNNNNNNNNNNNNNNNNNNNNNNNNNNNNNNNNNNNNNNNNNNNNNNNNNNNNNNNNNNNNNNNNNNNNNNNNNNNNNNNNNNNNNNNNNNNNNNNNNNNNNNNNNNNNNNNNNNNNNNNNNNNNNNNNNNNNNNNNNNNNNNNNNNNNNNNNNNNNNNNNNNNNNNNNNNNNNNNNNNNNNNNNNNNNNNNNNNNNNNNNNNNNNNNNNNNNNNNNNNNNNNNNNNNNNNNNNNNNNNNNNNNNNNNNNNUGCCCCACCAGCCGGAGCUCCGCCCCGCCGCCUCGGCCGCCAUGCGCCGCCUCCACCGCCUGCCGCCUUCGCGCCUCGCCGGGCGCGAGCUCACCGCCGCCGUCCGCCGUUGCCAGGCCGGUCGAGCGUCUCCGGCCUCCUCCCUCGUCGCCGGCGUCCUCCCGGGCCUCCCCCUCGCCUCCCCCUCACCGGAGUGAGCCCCUGCUCGCCGGAGCCGCGUCCUUACGCCGGAGCACCUCGGGAGACGAACCGCUACAGUGCCAGAUCUCAGAUCCGAAAUCUCGGGGUUGACUUUUCAUCCCUAACCCUAAUAUUUUUUGCAUACUUUGACAUGCCAUAACUUCCUCAUCGUAGCUCCGAUUCGUGCGUGUAGCAUAUCAAAAUGUUCGCCUCAACGAGUACAUCAUUUCAUCUCAUUGCAUCAUUUUCAUUUAAGCUCAUCUUGAUGCCCGUGCUGUUGAUAGGGGGGCUAGUGAGGAAAGUUGCAGAUCUGUUUCAGCAAAUGGCCUUUUGUCAUUUUUGCCAUGAUUAAUGUGUGCAUGCUAUGAUCCUGAGCUCUACAUGUAUUUUGAUGUAUGCCAUGCCAUGUUUACAGGGGUGUAUGCCAUGUAUUUUUGUGAUCUUUGUGGUGACUAGCACAAGCAUGCAAAGUAGCUUACUCAACGAUGCUGAUUUUAGGGACUUGGAAUUUCACUAAGUCAUUGCUCUGUCUUUAUUUUUAUGCCAUAUGUUCAUGUUGUUUCCUAGUGAUCCGUGCCUCUUUUGAGGAUGAUCCGUAAGGAUGUUUUGUUAAUAUUGUGGUGCUAUAUCCAUCCAUGUCUUCGUUUGCAAUUAUGGAGCACCCUAGCUUGAGUCAAUCGAGCUCUACAUUUGCUAUAAAAUGUUCCUGGCAGAUUGUUAACAUGUUUAGCAAUUUUGCUGAGCUUGUUGUUGUUGAUCCGUGCAUGCUAUGUUGUUGUUCUUGCCAUGUCUAACUUCUAUGCCAUGUCAUCUUGAUGGGUGUAUGUUUAGUUUGUCAUGCCAUGCUCUCUAGUGAGUGCAUCGAGCUCGUAAACAUGCCUACUCGUUAUCAGUUUUGCCAUGCUCUAGUUUAUAACUAAGUCUGAAUCUGUUUAUAUUUUUGCUAUGUUCACAUGCUUGCAAUUGUAUUUUCUGAUCCCUUUUGGCUUAUGGUCAGUAAGGUACUUUUGUUAUAUGCUUAGAGUAACUUAAUGACAUGCCUUGCUUUGCCAUGUUAUGUUCCUAUAGCUUGUAGUUAUCGCGCUCUAAACAUUGCUUCAUGAUAAUUUAUUCCUGACAUGCUGUUAAUUUCACUAAGUCUAAAACCUGUUAUCUUUUGCACUUUUGCCAUGCUUGUUUGAACCUGUUAUUGAGUGAAUUAGCCGUAGCUCAGUGUUCAUCUUUUGUCAAGCAUCAUGAGUGGAUCCCUGCCAUGUAUUUCGUUGUCAUGUUGGAGUGCUGUAGCAUGUUGUUCUUGAUGCAUUUAGAAGGCUACUUGCUGAUUAUUGCAGACCGGUGCCAUAUUUGUUUUGCUUGCCAUUUCCAAACCGUGCAUCUGAUUCCAGUGAUCUUUAUAUCGAUUUCAACCGAAAUCAACUCACCUUUUCAGUGGCACUCUUGGAUUUCCAAGUUGAGGCCAGGUUCAAUCAUUCCUUUCCAAUUGAUGCAUAUGCAUCACAUACCGCAUCCCGCAUAUCAUGCCAUGUUCAUGUGUUGGUUGUUUACUAUGUUGUGUGCUUCUUUCUGGUGUUGCUUCUUCGGGUUGGUUCUGAUAACGUCUCGUCUGUGAGGAACCGUUCGACUAUGUCCAUUUGUCUUCUUCAUGGACUCGCUCUUCUUCCUUGCGGGAUUUCAGGCAAGAUGACCAUACCCUCGAAAUCACUUCUAUCUUUGCUUGCUAGUUGCUCGCUCGUUUGCUAUGCCUAUGCCGCGAUACCUACCACUUGCUUAUCAUGCCUCCCAUAUUGUUGAGCCAAGCCUCUAACCCACCUUAUCCUAGCAAACCGUUGUUUGGCUAUGUUACCGCUUUGCUCAGCCCCUCUUAUAGCGUUGUUAGUUGCAGGUGAAGAUUGGAGUUUGUUCCAUCUUGGAACAUGGAUAUUUUGUUGGGAUAUCACAAUAUCUCUUAUUUAAUUAAUGCAUCUGUAUACUUGGUAAAGGGUGGAAGGCUCAGCCUUAUGCCUGGUGUUUUGUUCCACUCUUGCCACCCUAGUUUCCGUCAUAUCGGUGUUAUGUUCCCGGAUUUUGCCCUUACACGGUUGGGUUAUAAUGGGAACCCCUUGACAGUUCGCCUUGAAUAAAACUCCUCCAGCAAGGCCCAACAUUUGUUUUACCAUUUGCACUAACAACCUACCACCUUCCCUUGGGUUCUGCAGACUCAAGGGUCAUCUUUAUUUUAACCCCCCCCCAGGCCAGUGCUUCUCUAAGUGUUGGUCCGAAAUGGGCAGCCUGCGGGGCCACCUCGGGGAAACUUGAGGGCUGGUUUUACUCGUAGCUUGACCUAUCCGGUGUGCCCUGAGAACGAGGUAUGUGCAGCUCCUAUCGGGAUUUGUCGGCACAUCCGGGUGGCUUUGCUGGACUUGUUUUAUCAUUGUCGAGGAUGUCUUGUAAUCGGGAUACCGAGUCUGAUCGGAAUGUCUUGGGAGAAGGAAUAUCCUUCAUUGACCAUGAGAGCUUGUGAUGGGCUAAGUUGGGAUGCCCCUGUAGGGUUUGAACUUUCGAAAGCCGUGCCCACGGUUAUGGGCAGAUGGGAAUUUGUCAAUGUUCGGUUGUAGAAAACUUGAAACUUAACUUAAUUAAAAAUGCAUCAACCGCGUGUGUAGCCGUGAUGGUCUCUUCUCGGCGGGGUCCGGGAAGUGAACACGGUGUUGGAGUAAUACUGGAUGUAGGUUGUUCUAGGAUUACUUCUUGAUCAUAGUUGUUCGACCGUGCUUUUGCCUUCUCUUCUCGCUCUCAUUUGCGUUGUUAGCCACCAAAUAUGCUAGUCGCUUGCUGCAGCUCCACCUCAUACCUUUUACCUUACCUAUAAGCUUAAAUAGUCUUGAUCGUGAGGGUGUGAGAUUGCUGAGUCCCCAUGACUCACAGAUACUUUCAAAACCAGCUUGCAGGUGCCGAGGAUACCGUGCAGAUGACGCAACCAAGCUUAAAGAGGAACUCUAUGAAGAUCUUGUCCUUUGUUAUGUUUCGUUCUAGUCGAUCAGUAGUGGAGCCCAGUUGGGGUCGAUCAGGGAUCUGUGUAGCAUUUGGGGUAGUCUUCUUUUAUUUUGGUUCCGUAGUCGGACCUUGAGUGUAUCUGGUUGAUGUAAUGCUUUAUUCAUGUAAUUGUGUGAAGUGGCGAUUGUAAGCCAACUAUGUAUCUCUUUCCCUUAUGUAUUACAUGGGUUG